GGGAAUAUUGCGCAAUGGAGGGAACUCUGACGCAGCGACGCUGCGUGAGCGAUGAAGGUCUUCGGAUCGUAAAGCUCUGUCCUUGGGGAAGAAGGUCUUCGGACUUGACGGUACCUAAGGAGGAAGCCCCUUCUAACUACGUUCCAGCAGCCGCGGUAAUACGUAGGGGGCAAGCGUUGUCCGGAAUUAUUGGGCGUAAAGGGUGCGUAGGCGGCCUUUUAAGUCAGAUGUGAAAGCCCACGGCUUAACCGUGGGACUGCAUUUGAAACUGGAGGGCUUGAGUAUCGGAGAGGGUAGUGGAAUUCCCAGUGUAGCGGUGGAAUGCGUAGAUAUUGGGAGGAACACCAGUGGCGAAGGCGACUACCUGGACGAAAACUGACGCUGAGGCACGAAAGCUAGGGGAGCAAACA
rnacentral:rRNA from 1 species